rnacentral:lncRNA from 1 species
AAGCACAUAGUGUCUCAUUAGGUAGAGCCAAGAGGAAAAGAUUCCUAAGUUAUUCUAACUAUAAGUCUACGAAUACUAUGGUUAGUGCAAUUACACUUAGCAAUCAUUGUUAAGACCACUAUUAUAUAUAUAUAUAAGGAACAUCACUCUAGGGAGAUCUAGGAUCGUAACAAAAUAACCCCACGACAGCAUUCUACUAGUCCUACAUACGGGGAGUGGACUACAUAGGACUCAACGAGAUUAUUGUCACACCCAUGAUCUAUCACAUGGCCUGGCAUAUAAAGGUGCU